AGAGUUUGAUCCUGGCUCAGGACGAACGCUGGCGGCGUGCUUAAUACAUGCAAGUCGAGCGAGGCCUUGGAAUUGGAGUCCUUCGGGAUGAAGAGUCCUUGGCCUAGCGGCGGACGGGUGAGUAACGCGUGGGCAACCUACCCCAAAGUCCGGGAUAACAGUGGGAAACCGCUGCUAAUACCGGAUGGCUUUACCUGAGGGCAUCCUUGGGUAAAGAAAGGUUACGCUUUGGGAUGGGCCCGCGUCCCAUUAGCUAGUUGGUGAGGUAACGGCUCACCAAGGCCACGAUGGGUAGCCGGCCUGAGAGGGUGAACGGCCACACUGGGACUGAGACACGGCCCAGACUCCUACGGGAGGCAGCAGUAGGGAAUAUUGCGCAAUGGGCGGAAGCCUGACGCAGCGACGCCGCGUGAGCGAAGAAGGCCUUCGGGUCGUAAAGCUCUGUCCUUGGGGAAGAAGGCGAAAGCUUGACGGUACCCAAGAAGAAAGCCCCGGCUAACUACGUGCCAGCAGCCGCGGUAAUACGUAGGGGGCGAGCGUUGUCCGGAAUUACUGGGCGUAAAGGGUGCGUAGGCGGCCUUUUAAGUCAGAUGUGAAAGACCACGGCUUAACCGUGGGGUUGCAUUUGAAACUGGGAGGCUUGAGUGUCGGAGAGGGCAGUGGAAUUCCCGGUGUAGCGGUGAAAUGNGUAGAUAUCGGGAGGAACACCAGUGGCGAANNNGACUGNCUGGNCNAUAACUGACGCUGAGGCACGAAAGCUAGGGGAGCAAACAGGANUANAUACCCUGNAGUCCUAGCCGUAAACGAUGGGUACUAGGNGUAGGGGUUUCGAUACCUCUGUGCCNCA
rnacentral:rRNA from 1 species